rnacentral:rRNA from 1 species
CCGGAAACUUGGUCAAACUUGGUCAUUUAGAGGAAGUAAAAGUCGUAACAAGGUUUCCGUAGGUAUGUGAACACGUUAAACCCCCUCUAUAAAACUCUCGAAUUUUUUUAACUAACUCAUUUCUAAUAGGUGAACCUGCGGAAGG